UGCCUGGAAUGUUCUCAGGGCCUGCUGAAAGUAGAGCUCUGCAGGACAGAGCGUGAUGCUGGAACACAUGCUGACAAUGCCAGCGAGAGCCUGAUUGCAUUCUUCUGAGUGCUAACUGCUGAUCAGCUCUAUUGCGUCAUUUACGUUAGAAAUGAAGAAUCAUCUGAUCCAGGGCAGAUCUGUCGUGGGAAACAUGUAGAACUGAAAAAGGAAGUAGACGUGCUAGGUCCAUCCACGGUGUCAGAGUGGGGAUGAAAAGAGGCUGGAGACCAACGCAGUAUCAUCCUCACUAUUCUACUGAACAACAGAAAGGAGAGGACUCGGUGAGGCCUGUCUGCAU